ensembl:lncRNA
GGACGGGAGGCUGCUGAGGCGGCUGGAGAGGCCUCAUUAUUUUGGUCGAAGGAGAAACUCCAUCUAUUCCUUGUAUUGAAGAAAGCCCACCGUUUACUGAGCACCGACUGUGUGCGGGCACGUUCUGGAUGCUGGAGACACAGCAGCCAAUAGAGACGUUGUCCCUCUCUGCGGAGUCGAGGAGACAGGCGGUUAGAGGCCUAUGCUAACAUGAGAGCUGGUGUAGACAGGACGUGCCCUGACGAAAUUAACAGCCACCUGGAGAGUGGAGGAUCCGGUAGUGGGCCCCAUGCUAGAUGGGCUGAUCUGGGAAGCCUCUGUGAAGAGGUGAUGCUCGACUGUCACUUUAACAAGAUCCCUGUGGCUGCUGUGAGGACAGUAGACAGCCAGAGGAUCAGUGAGCAGCGGCAGCUCUAAGGGACAUUGGUGGCUUGGGCGGUGUGAAGCCUGGAGGGUGAGGAGGGGUUGGAUGUGGGCCUGAUGGAGGAGUCAAGGGUGACAUCGGGACCUGAGCCACAGAGUGGAUGGAAGGCAGUGGCCUUUACUGACAUGGAGAAUGCUUGGGGCAAAGGCGGGUGGAUCGAGAGUCCUGUUCUGGCCUCAUUGAGUUGGGUAUGUCUGUGUGACAUCCGCCUGGAAAAAUCCAACGGUGUUGUUGGGGUGGAGGUCAGGCGGCUGUCCAGAUGUGGGUGUCAGCCAUCAGUAGACUAUGGCAUUUGUAGCCUUGGGCCUGCGGGAGAUGCCCAAGGGGCGAGGCUCGAUGGAGAAGAGGCCGGGCCUGGGCAGCUCGACCUUCAGCGGCAGAGACAGGAAGGGGACCCAGCCAGGGAGGCCUGGGAAGGCCGCAUGUGGUGCAGGAGCUGAGCCAGGAAAGCGCCUCAGCGGGAAGGCAGGGAGAAGCCCAGGAGACGUGGCCUGGGAAGGACUGUGGGAUGUGCCAUGCCAAGGUCCCUGGUGACCAGGGUAAUGGCGGGCCUGAGGGAGAGGAACGUGCCCAGACGGACAUGGCUUUCCCACCAUGGGGAGCUCAGCCUUGGACCUAAGUGUGGAGGAUGAGGGAUGCUCCGGACAGGGCCCUGUGGUCCCCUGAGGAGACAGAAUGGGGCAAAACCAGGAACCGGGAUCCUCGGAUGGGGAAACUGAGGCCCAGGUGGAGGCAGAGCAGGGCCGGGGCAGACCUCCAUCACCAGUCCACGCUUUCCUGUCCAGUCUCAGGCUCAGGACAGGCCGCUCUGGAGACACUGGGUGCACUUCUCCUCCGACCCUCAGGUGUCUCCAGACAGUUCUUUAUGGAGAGAAGCCCCGGGUGUCGCACGUCCCUGGCCAGGGGACGAAGGCAGGCAGUGUGCCGAUGCUCACGUCUGUGGGGCUCUCUGUCCCAGGAAGCAGGUUGUUGUCCUGCCGGCUCGGCCUGCCUUCUCUCUCCUGUGCAGAGGACUGUGGCAGGAGGAGGGCCUGUGGUCCCUUGGCAAGGUGACGAUGGGCCCUGCUCCCCAAGCUGCCUCUCUGGCCCAGUACCCUGCCUGCUGCAGAGCAAGGAGCCCUGGGAUCCCCAGCUGUGGGGAAAUGAGGGGACCCCAAUCUUCCGUCCAGGUUCUCUUGGUGCCUAAGACAGGACAAGACCCCCUGCGGGCCCCAGGCCUGCCUCCCCUGAAUGGGCCUCACACACUAGGAGUGGCCUCACCAGUCCCUGGGGACAGCCCAGACACCUGGGGUUCCCUGCCUGCCUCUGCGCAGCCCCACAUGGCACCUGAUACUCCCCAGGACUCUCCAGUCCUCUCCCUUCCCUCCCACACGUCUCAGCGCCGCCGCCACCUCUUCCUCCAGCCUCAGACUCUCUCUUCUGGGGAUGCCCCAGAUCUCUGGCUCGUUCCUUCCUUCAUUUUCCUCCCUACCAGCCCAGAUGUUCUGUUGAAGAGCAGAGGAAGGGAGGGUGUUGGAAACACCCCCUACUCCAGGAAGCCCUCCCUGAGGGGACCAGAGCUUCCCUGUCUUCUGUUAGGGUCCCACACACUGAAUUUCUGAGUAGAUUUAUCCCAAAGGCAGCACACGCCUGUGGGGACAAACCGGAAGGCUCAGACAUGAGGUGAGUGUGUGUGCAUGCAUGUCGGAGCAGCUGUCCUUCCUUCGACAACACAUGGCGCCGCUUGUCAGCCCUGAGCAUCCUCUGUCAGGGGCCUUUCCUCCGGGCUGUGAGCUCAGUGCCCACCCCCUUCGGGUGCAUGGACCCCAACCGCGGUGGAUGGGCCUCUGCGCAGCUCCAGCCAGCCCCUCCCAGGAGCCGCUGUGUCCUCGGCCCUUCCUGUCUGGGUCAUGGGUAUUUUUAGCACCGAAUCCGGAACGCACUGGGCAGCAGCUGCUCACAGGCAGAGCACAGGGACAACACACUGUCCAGGUGGCUGCUUCAGGCCUGGGCAGCAAAGGGAGCACCCUGGGCCUGGCCCUCUGAGCCUGACCCUGCACCUGUCAUUUGCUGACAUCAACUCUGCCAUCCUUCCCACCAGCCCAGGCCUCUCACCCAACCCCCCACCCAGUGCCCCAUGCUGGAGCAGGCCUUGCAGAGCUCCGCCUGAGCGCUCCUCUCCAGGGACUCUGGCCAUCCCUUGGCACUUCCGUGUCACCCCUGCGCAGCUGCUACCUGCCGUCCGCUGGAUUCUGUGUUUUCUGGAAUCCCACGUCUGCCCAUGGAGCUACCAGAGACAGUCUUGGGCAGGGGCUGGAAGAGAGGAUCCCUCACCCCACACCCUUCCCAGGUCACCGUGAACUAGUGGCACCAACAGGGAAAUGAGGAAGGCACCCAUCUCCUGUAGGGGAUUCAAUGGUGACCCACCCCCAAAAAAUGUCCCCCCCGGAAGCUGUGAAUGUGACCUUCUUUGGAAAAAGAGUCCUUACAGAUGUAAUUGCCAAGGAUCUCAAGGUGAGAGCAUCCUGAAGCACCCAGGUGGCCCUAAAUCCAGUGACAAGUGUCCUUAUAAGAAGAGGAGAGACGCAGAGCAGAAGACACAGAGAAGGCCCUGUGAUGAUGGAGGCGGAGCCUGGAGUGGGGCAGCCAUGUCACAAGGGACGCCUGGGGCCAGCAGAAGCUGGAGGAAGCAGGAAGGUCCUAGAGGCCCAGAGGGAACCCAGGCUGCCGACGCUGUGAUUUCAGACUGCCGGCCCAGGAUGGAGCCCAAGCCAUGGCCCACCCCACCCACCAUCCAGGCUCCUUGGACCCACCUUGGUCCCUCUGCCCGAUGGGGUGUCCCGAGUGCCCAGGUCAGCUCAGGAUGCUGGGGUGUCAGUGAUGAAGUAAGGCACCGGGGGGCAGGUGGGUGGGAGUCAGG